rnacentral:rRNA from 1 species
CCUACGGGAGGCAGCAGUGAGGAAUAUUGGUCAAUGGACGCAAGUCUGAACCAGCCAUGCCGCGUGCAGGAAGACGGCUCUAUGAGUUGUAAACUGCUUUUGUACGAGGGUAAAUCCCGAUACGUGUAUCGGGUUGAAAGUAUCGUACGAAUAAGGAUCGGCUAACUCCGUGCCAGCAGCCGCGGUAAUACGGAGGAUUCAAGCGUUAUCCGGAUUUAUUGGGUUUAAAGGGUGCGUAGGCGGGCCUUUAAGCCGGCGGUGAAAUCGCGGGGCUCAACCCCGCCGAGCCGUCGGAACUGGGGGCCGUGAGUGCGGCGGAGGCAUGCGGAAUGCGCGGUGUAGCGGUGAAAUGCAUAGAUAUCGCGCAGAACCCCGAUUGCGAAGGCAGCGUGCCGUGCCGCCACUGACGCUGAGGCACGAAAGCGCGGGGAUCGAACAGGAUUAGAUACCCGGGUAGUC